rnacentral:rRNA from 1 species
UACAGAGGGUGCGAGCGUUGUUCGGGAUUAUUGGGCGUAAAGCGCUUGUAGGCGGCUUGUUAAGUCCUGUGUGAAAGCCCUAGGCUUAACCUAGGAACUGCAUCUGAUACUGGAUGGCUUGAGUUUGGGAGAGGGAUGCGGAAUUCCAGGUGUAGCGGUGAAAUGCGUAGAUAUCUGGAGGAACACCGGUGGCGAAGGCGGCAUCCUGGACCAACACUGACGCUGAGGAGCGAAAGCCAGGGGAGCAAACGGG